AGCAUCACUCUGGCAUAUAUGAUGCCAGGGAGCAAACUCAAGUCUCCUGCUUGGCAGUCCAACAUUUUAUCCAACUGCGCCAUCUCCUAGGUCGCCUGCUUACUCAACUGCACGCUUUGAUGGGGUGGUUUGGGAGGAAGGGUCUAACUCCUGCCCCCCCCCCCCCCGCAAGCCGUCCCCUGAACUGCCCUAAGACUUUGGGAAGGUGGAGCCAACCUCUUCUCGCACCCCUGCGGGCAGAACCGGGAAGGGGGAGAAGGGACUGACAGCACAGCUCCAAGGCAGAUGAAGUUUCUAUCUCUAAGACUGUGGCAACUUCCAGACUGAGGAAGUAAAAGUCCCUGAGGAGGGAAAAGAGACAGGAAAGAGAAAGAUACCACAGUACUCCACCAUCCAUGGGCUCCCCUGAUGCUAUCCAUGGUGCUUCAUGUAGCAUAGCAAUUCAAACCCAAGACUCCAUGCAUAGAUCAGAGGGUGCUUUCUUUACCACUUUUCUAUAUGAAUACUUGAAAUACAUAUCACACAGUCUGCCAAGAAGGUUCGCAUUUUGAUGGACACUAAUCCCAUAGCUCGAGUGAGCAAAUCAGGUAAACAGCAACCUCAGGGACCAGCAGGAGGAGAUUCCCAGAUCAUGGUCUCUUGUGAUUUCAUUCCCCAAUCUACUGACAAGUAAACUUGGUACAGGAGGUAGGAGAAAGGCCCCUUGUAAUAGUUUUCUUGUCCCAUCUAAGGCAGAAAUCAGAACAAUAAGGAACAGAAG